rnacentral:rRNA from 1 species
GGCACGGGGGGACUCCUACGGGAGGCAGCAGUCGGGAAUUUUGGGCAAUGGGCGAAAGCCUGACCCAGCAACGCCGCGUGAAGGAUGAAAUCCCUCGGGAUGUAAACUUCGCAAGAACGGGAAGAAUGAGUAGGGGACAACACCCCCUAUGAUGACGGUACCGUUUGUAAGCUCCGGCUAACUCCGUGCCAGCAGCCGCGGUAAUACGGGGGGAGCAAGCGUUGUUCGGAUUUACUGGGCGUAAAGGGCGCGUAGGCGGCCUCCGCAAGUCAGUUGUGAAAUCUCCGGGCUUAACUCGGAAAGGUCAACUGAUACUGCGGGGCUAGAGUGCGGAAGGGGCAACUGGAAUUCUUGGUGUAGCGGUGAAAUGCGUAGAUAUCAAGAGGAACACCUGCGGCGAAGGCGGGUUGCUGGGCCGACACUGACGCUGAGGCGCGAAAGCUAGGGGAGCGAACGGGAUUAGAUACCCCGGUAGUCCUAGCCUUAAACGAUGAAUGCUUGGUGUCUGGGGUUAUAUAGUCCCCUGGUGCCGUCGCUAACGCUUUAAGCAUUCCGCCUGGGGAGUACGGUCGCAAGACUGAAACUCAAAGGAAUUGACGG